CGGACGGGUGAGUAACACGUGAGCAACCUGCCUUUCAGUGGGGGACAACAGUUGGAAACGACUGCUAAUACCGCAUAACGUGCCGGAAGGGCAUCCUUUUGGUACCAAAGAUUUAUCGCUGAAAGAUGGGCUCGCGUCUGAUUAGAUAGUUGGUGAGGUAACGGCCCACCAAGUCGACGAUCAGUAGCCGGACUGAGAGGUUGAUCGGCCACAUUGGGACUGAGACACGGCCCAGACUCCUACGGGAGGCAGCAG
rnacentral:rRNA from 1 species